rnacentral:rRNA from 1 species
GCUUACGGCCAUACCAGCCUGGGUACGCCCGAUCUCGUCUGAUCUCGGAAGCUAAGCCGGGUCGGGCCUGGUUAGUACUUGGAUGGGAGACCGCCUGGGAAUACCAGCUGCUGUAAGCA